ACGGGUGAGUAAUACAUCGGAACGUAUCCUGGAGUGGGGGAUAGCCCGGCGAAAGCCGGAUUAAUACCGCAUACGCUCUGAGGAGGAAAGCGGGGGACUUUCGGGCCUCGCGCUCAAGGGGCGGCCGAUGGCGGAUUAGGUAGUUGGUGGGGUAAAGGCCUACCAAGCCGACGAUCCGUAGCUGGUCUGAGAGGACGACCAGCCACACUGGGACUGAGACACGGCCCAGACUCCUACGGGAGGCAGCAGUGGGGAAUUUUGGACAAUGGGGGCAACCCUGAUCCAGCAAUGCCGCGUGUGUGAAGAAGGCCUUCGGGUUGUAAAGCACUUUUGUCCGGAAAGAAAUCAUCGGGGCCAAUACCCCUGGUGGAUGACGGUACCGGAAGAAUAAGCACCGGCUAACUACGUGCCAGCAGCCGCGGUAAUACGUAGGGUGCGAGCGUUAAUCGGAAUUACUGGGCGUAAAGCGUGCGCAGGCGGUGCUGUAAGACCGAUGUGAAAUCCCCGGGCUUAACCUGGGAACUGCAUUGGUGACUGCAGCGCUGGAGUAUGGCAGAGGGGGGUGGAAUUCCACGU
rnacentral:rRNA from 1 species